GGGUUGUUAGCUCAAUUGGUAGAGCAAGUGACUCUUAAUCACUAGGUUCUGGGUUCGAGUCCCAGACAACCCA
rnacentral:tRNA from 1 species